rnacentral:pre_miRNA from 1 species
UCUUCAUUUCGCACACUCUCUCACCGGUCAGUGUGGCGGGAAAGCGUGUGAAAGGAAGAGA